ensembl:lncRNA
GAACGAGACAUAGGAGGCGGCGAGGGGACCGCCGAUCGACCGGUGGUAGAUCGUGGAUCAGGCAAACCUAAGGCAGGAGCGUGAGGUGAACUGAAUUUCAGUUUGCGACCCUCACUGCCCAGCCAUUCUCAGUCUGGAGCUAUCCUGCCUAACUCUCCAUGCUACCUCCCUGCUCACCUGCGCUACCUGGGGUCCACGUUGUCCCCACUUCAAUCUCCAGCCUUAAGUACCUCUCCCAAGCGUCUAGUAAAUGUGUGGCAAACAGUUUGAAUUCUCUGUUCAGACAGAACUGUCAUGUUUGUUAAACUGAACUACAAACAUUCAGUGAAAUCCUGAAAUUCAGGAUCUUUUUCAGAGCCAGAGGAAACACUAAGUGACUGCAGAGAUGUGGUUUUCAUAAAACACCUAUAAAAC